rnacentral:rRNA from 1 species
AUUGAACGCUGGCGGCAGGCCUAACACAUGCAAGUCGAGCGGGGUUUUCGGACCUAGCGGCGGACGGGGUGAGUAAUGCGUAGGAAGCUACCCGAUAGAGGGGGAUACCAGUUGGAAACGACUGUUAAUACCGCAUAAUGUCUACGGACCAAAGUGUGGGACCUUCGGGCCACAUGCUAUCGGAUGCGCCUACGUGGGAUUAGCUAGUUGGUGAGGUAAUGGCUCACCAAGGCGACGAUCCGUAACUGGUCUGAGAGGAUGAUCAGUCACACUGGAACU